GAGGGUAUAGCUCAGUGAUAGAGUGUGUGCCUGGCAUGCAUGAGAUCUUGGAUUCAAUCUCAAGUACCUCCA
rnacentral:tRNA from 1 species